ACAUACGACUAUAGAUGGUAGAAAACUCGGGAUCCCGUCCGCUCUCCCAUAGAUAAGCUACCAAUCGGAUUCUUGUUAGGAAGAGCGAAAACGUUGUAGGGA
rnacentral:rRNA from 1 species